CCUACGGGGUGCAGCAGUGGGGAAUAUUGGGCAAUGGGCGCAAGCCUGACCCAGCAACGCCGCGUGAAGGAAGAAGGCUUUCGGGUUGUAAACUUCUUUUCUCAGGGACGAAGCAAGUGACGGUACCUGAGGAAUAAGCCACGGCUAACUACGUGCCAGCAGCCGCGGUAAUACGUAGGUGGCAAGCGUUAUCCGGAUUUACUGGGUGUAAAGGGCGUGUAGGCGGGAAAGCAAGUCAGAUGUGAAAACCAUAGGCUCAACCUGUGGCCUGCAUUUGAAACUGUUUUUCUUGAGUACUGGAGAGGCAGACGGAAUUCCUAGUGUAGCGGUGAAAUGCGUAGAGAUUAGGAGGAACACCAGUGGCGAAGGCGGUCUGCUGGACAGCAACUGACGCUGAGGCGCGAAAGCGUGGGGAGCAAACAGGAUUAGAUACCCCGGUAGUC
rnacentral:rRNA from 1 species